rnacentral:rRNA from 1 species
GCUUUAUGAACUUAGACAUUCUAUAUAUUUUUAAAUAAAAAUAAUUUUUUAAAUGUUCAUUUGGUUGGGGCGACAAUAGUAUAAUAAGAGUAACUGCUUUUAAGUUUAACAAAAAUGUUUGAGUCAUAUUUAGUUGAUCCUUUUUAAAGAUUCUAAGAUCAAGUU